rnacentral:rRNA from 7 species
AAACGACUCUCGGCAACGGAUAUCUCGGCUCUUGCAUCGAUGAAGAACGUAGCGAAAUGCGAUACGUGGUGUGAAUUGCAGAAUCCCGUGAACCAUCGAGUUUUUGAACGCAAGUUGCGCCCAAAGCCUUUUGGUUGAGGGCACGUCUGCCUGGGUGUCACAC